UUGAAUGAUUAUGAACCAGAUUUAUAGUCUGAUCUAGUGGUGUGAUAUGUGAUCACGCCAUAUUUCACUUUGAUCACAGAUAUUUUUUAUAGAUUAGGUAAAAAUAUGAUCACGCUAUAUUAAACUUUGACUACAGUAAUUUUUUUAUAGAAUAGGUAAAACUAUGAUCACGCCAUAUUACAACGCUACCACAGUUAUUUUAUAGAUUAGGUAAAACUAUGAUCACACCAUAUGAUACCACAACCUUACAAAUCUGUAUAUAAGUGAUCAGUAGACAUUGAUUAUAGUUAGUGUUAAAUCUCAACAUUGUCUAUAAAUUUUAUGUUUCGUCGUUUCAUACCGUAAUAUAUCCGUUUGCUACAAGUCGAUAACAAACCAAGUAACACAAUUUGAUCAGGUAUAUUUAAUAUAUAUAAAAAAUAAUAUGUCGUACUAUACUAAUGUAUCUGCAGGCGAAAGCUCUUCAAAUGAUGAUAAUGAAAGUAGUAUGCUAUCAACACUAUCAUCUUCUUUAAAACCGGUAAAAAUGCAGAAUAAAAAAAGAAAAAUGAUACUGAACCAAAAGUUAAAAUGACUAAGGCUGGAAAGCAGCGAACAGAAUCAAUAGAGACGUACAAGGAUGCCUUAGCUAGUGUAAUUUCGAAAGGAAAUAUUGAAGAUAACGUUUCUAACUCAAUAA